rnacentral:rRNA from 1 species
AUUGAACGCUGGCGGCAUGCCUUACACAUGCAAGUCGAACGGCAGCACGGACUUCGGUCUGGUGGCGAGUGGCGAACGGGUGAGUAAUGUAUCGGAACGUACCUUUCAGUGGGGGAUAACGUAGCGAAAGUUACGCUAAUACCGCAUAUUCUGUGAGCAGGAAAGCAGGGGAUCGCAAGACCUUGCGCUGAUUAAGCGGCCGAUAUCAGAUUAGCUAGUUGGUGAGGUAAAGGCUCACCAAGGCGACGAUCUGUAGCGGGUCUGAGAGGAUGAUCCGCCACACUGGAACUGAGACACGGUCCAGACUCCUACGGGAGGCAGCAGUGGGGAAUUUUGGACAAUGGGGGCAACCCUGAUCCAGCCAUGCCGCGUGAGUGAAGAAGGCCU